rnacentral:ncRNA from 1 species
ACGAAAGCGCUGGCGCUUGCAGCAGGCAAGCAGACGAGGCAGAGGUUUAUCGAGCAGUCGGCGGGUACCUCUCGGCAGUGCGCGACCGUUAGCAACCGACAAAUCCGGCGAGUGAUCGCCGGGACAAAACG